CGUAACGCCCAUCGAUGAUAAAAUAAGCAAAUCACUGUUGACACAAUGACGACACAGACAUUUAGCUAUUAAUAAGAGCGGUGUUGCGAUCAACAGAGGUUCAGUUGUACAAGUCUACUCGUGCACGUAGCACGAUUCUGUGGAAAACAGCUCUGUUCGGUUUGAGUUUGGUAAAAACGUGAGAAAGGAAUGAUGCAGAUCGUCUUCAUCGCUUUGGCUGUUUUCACAGUCUCAGUCAACGCCCAGUUCUGCAACUUUGACCACUCGUUCUGUGGUUACACCAAUGACCCCACCAAGCCUAUGACUUGGGAAGAGUUCGAUGGCAACAGUCACGGACACGGACAUGUGCAGAUCGAGGGCAGUGGGCCAUCGGAGGACCACACACAUCAGGGAGGUCACGGUCACGGUUGGUUCGCGCAGUCCGACUGUGCCAAUAACCUGCCGGGGGAUGAAGCCUGGCUGGUCAGUCGCGAACUCACCGGCACCGCUUUCCUGGACUUCUGGUACACCAUGAACGGCGGCGACCUGGACCUGUCCGUGUACAUCCUGCAGGGAGGGCAGGAGAUUCAGGUCUGGAACAGGAUGAACAUCGACAACCCCUUCUGGCUGCGCGGUUCCGUGGCCCUCGACCCCCCAAACUUCUAUCAACCGUACCGGAUCGCCUUCGUGACAGUCCGGGGGGCAGACCCACUGUGCCACGUGGCUAUUGAUGACGUGAACAUCAACAUAGUCGCCGUGCCCCACAACCCCAAGCCGCCAACUGAAGCUCCUACCACUGCCCCUACCGCUGCCCCUACCGAUGCUCCUACCGAAGCCCCUACCGUUGCUGCUACCGAUGCUCCUACCGAUGCUCCCACUGACGCCGCUACCGAUGCUGUUACCGACGCUGGUACCGUCCCACCCCAACCGGACACCGCUGCUCCCACCGACGCCGUGACUGCUGCGUCCCAGCCCGCCACUAAGCCUGUGACCGACAAACCUACCGACGCUGCUACGCAGCCCCACCACAACCACCACCACCAUGCCAACCACCACUACGACUACAACACCUGAACCCACGACCACGAUGCCUACAACCCCCGAACCCACAACCAUCAAAGUGACCACUCCUGAGCCCACGAAGCCUGGCUUGACCAUUCACUGCAACUCUGACAUGAUACAGGUCGUCGUCGACAGGGCCGCCGCUCCCGACCUGAACGAGCAAACCACCCACCUGAUCGACCCUACCUGCGUGGCGACCGCCAACGCGACUCAUCUCGUGUUCGAGACCGCUCUGGACGCCUGCGGCACGACUCGACAGGAGACAGAGAACUACAUCAUCUACUCCAACGCGCUCGACCAGCGAGUCGGCGAGAUCAGCUUCAUCGGAAGUCUCGACUUCCACUGCGCCAUUUCUCGCGAGACCUUGGUGAGCGGCACGUUCACACCCGGUAGCGCCAAAUUUGGCCGGGUGAUCAAUUACGACCCCUUCGCUUUCGGUGAAUACAACAGCGAGAUGAGGUUCUUCCAGGACAACAGUUACCAGCACGAGCUGACGGCGCCUAUCAGCGUGUCCGUGGGAGACUACCUGUACGUGGAGACGCGUCUGCUGUCAUCGGACAAGGACCUGCGCAUCAGGGCCACCAAAUGUGUCGUCACCACCGACACCUCCCCAGACAGCAGCCCCCAGUAUGUCGCCAUCGAUAACAAGUGCCCUGCUUCUACCAGUGUGGUGCAACUCUUGGCCUCCCCAUCAUCCGAGGUUCAGCGGUUCAGCAUGAGGGCCUUCGAGUUCGUUUCUAACCCUAACUCACCGGUCUACCUCCACUGUUACCUGCUUGUCUGCUCCGCUGCUCCCGGCAGCCCUUGCGAGGAUACCUGCGCGAGAUCCGGCAAGGCACGACGGGAAGCUCCGGCUCUCGGCUCUGUUGUGCGCAUGUCGGCAGAACUGCCUGUGAAGAACACCAAGCUCUUCAGUCCUGCAGCAGCCGCCAUCGCGGGAGCGGUGGGAGUCAUCGCGCUCGUCGGAACAGCCCUUGUUGUUCGCCGUUACCGAAAGAGCCGUCACCCCACCGACGAGAUCGACAUGUAAAAGAGAUGUUAAAAAACGCUACAAUUACGCCCCCCUUGCAACUGACGAUUUUGUUCUGUAAUCAUUCGUGAUAGAAAAUUCCUAAUUCUGCUUCUGCCGUUGUCGCCGCACCAGCCCAUCAGGAUCUGACAUUUGUUUAACAAGUGUCGUUCAUUCAAUAAAGUAGUGACAACGAACCUGUGUCCUCAGAGACGUCAUCUUUCUUAUGGAGAUUGUAUAAUAAAAUAUCUACUCGUUUCCAUUCUA